UACAGAGGUCUCAAGCGUUGUUCGGAUUCAUUGGGCGUAAAGGGUGCGUAGGUGGCGAGGCAAGUCUGGUGUGAAAUCCCGGGGCUCAACCCCGGAACUGCACUGGAUACUACUUUGCUAGAGUACUGGAGAGGAGAUUGGAAUUUACGGUGUAGCAGUGAAAUGCGUAGAUAUCGUAAGGAAGACCAGUGGCGAAGGCGAAUCUCUGGACAGUUACUGACACUGAGGAGCGAAAGCGUGGGGAGCGAACAGG
rnacentral:rRNA from 1 species